rnacentral:misc_RNA from 1 species
CAGAGUUCGUGCCCUCACGGGUAGAUCUCCCACCCUGUGUUAUUAUACCUUUGUUGCUUUGGCGGGCCGCCCUCGGCUACCGGCCCCGGCUGGUACGCGCCCGCCAGAGGACCCCAAACUCUUGUUUUAUACAGUAUCUUCUGAGUAACACGAUUAAAUAAAUCA